UACGUAGGGGGCGAGCGUUGUCCGGAUUUAUUGGGCGUAAAGAGCUCGUAGGCGGCUUGGCAAGUCGGGUGUGAAACCUCCAGCUCAACCUAGAGACGCCACUCGAUACUGCCAUGGCUAGAGUCCGGUAGGGGACCACGGAAUUCCUGGUGUAGCGGUGAAAUGCGCAGAUAUCAGGAGGAACACCGGUGGCGAAGGCGGUGGUCUGGGCCGGCACUGACGCUGAGGAGCGAAAGCGUGGGUAGCAAACAGG
rnacentral:rRNA from 1 species